rnacentral:rRNA from 1 species
UACGAAGGGGGGCUAGCGUUGCUCGGAAUCACUGGGCGUAAAGGGUGCGUAGGCGGGUCUUUUAAGUCAGGGGUGAAAUCCUGGAGCUCAACUCCAGAACUGCCUUUGAUACUGAAGAUCUUGAGUUCGGGAGAGGUGAGUGGAACUGCGAGUGUAGGAGGUGAAAUUCGUAGAUAUUCGCAAGAACACCAGUGGCGAAGGCGGCUCACUGGCCCGAUACUGACGUUGAGGCACGAAAGCGUGGGGAGCAAACAGG